GUAUGAACGCUGGCGGCGUGCCUAAUACAUGCAAGUCGAGCGAACGGACGAGAAGCUUGCUUCUCUGAUGUUAGCGGCGGACGGGUGAGUAACACGUGGAUAACCUACCUAUAAGACUGGGAUAACUUCGGGAAACCGGAGCUAAUACCGGAUAAUAUUUUGAACCGCAUGGUUCGAAAGUGAAAGACGGUCUUGCUGUCACUUAUAGAUGGAUCCGCGCUGCAUUAGCUAGUUGGUAAGGUAACGGCUUACCAAGGCAACGAUGCAUAGCCGACCUGAGAGGGUGAUCGGCCACACUGGAACUGAGACACGGUCCAGACUCCUACGGGAGGCAGCAGUGGGGAAUAUUGCACAAUGGGCGCAAGCCUGAUGCAGCGACGCCGCGUGGGGGAUGACGGCCUUCGGGUUGUAAACUCCUUUCGCUAGGGACGAAGCUUUUUGUGACGGUACCUAGAUAAGAAGCACCGGCUAACUACGUGCCAGCAGCCGCGGUAAUACGUAGGGUGCGAGCGUUGUCCGGAAUUACUGGGCGUAAAGGGCUCGUAGGUGGUUUGUCGCGUCGUCUGUGAAAUUCCGGGGCUUAACUCCGGGCGUGCAGGCGAUACGGGCAUAACUUGAGUACUGUAGGGGUAACUGGAAUUCCUGGUGUAGCGGUGAAAUGCGCAGAUAUCAGGAGGAACACCGAUGGCGAAGGCAGGUUACUGGGCAGUUACUGACGCUGAGGAGCGAAAGCAUGGGUAGCGAACAGGAUUAGAUACCCUGGUAGUCCAUGCCGUAAACGGUGGGCGCUAGGUGUGAGGGUCUUUUCACGACUUUCGUGCCGUAGCUAACGCAUUAAGCGCCCCGCCUGGGGAGUACGGCCGCAAGGCUAAAACUCAAAGGAAUUGACGGGGGCCCGCACAAGCGGCGGAGCAUGUGGAUUAAUUCGAUGCAACGCGAAGAACCUUACCUGGGCUUGACAUACACCGGAUCGGGCUAGAGAUAGUCUUUCCCUUUGUGGCUGGUGUACAGGUGGUGCAUGGUUGUCGUCAGCUCGUGUCGUGAGAUGUUGGGUUAAGUCCCGCAACGAGCGCAACCCUUGUCUUAUGUUGCCAGCAUUUGGUUGGGGACUCAUGAGAGACUGCCGGGGUCAACUCGGAGGAAGGUGGGGAUGACGUCAAAUCAUCAUGCCCCUUAUGUCCAGGGCUUCACACAUGCUACAAUGGUCGGUACAACGCGCAGCGACACUGUGAGGUGGAGCGAAUCGCUGAAAGCCGGCCUUAGUUCGGAUUGGGGUCUGCAACUCGACCCCAUGAAGUCGGAGUCGCUAGUAAUCGCAGAUCAGCAACGCUGCGGUGAAUGCGUUCCCGGGCCU
rnacentral:rRNA from 1 species